rnacentral:rRNA from 1 species
CCUACGGGAGGCAGCAGUGAGGAAUAUUGGUCAAUGGCCGGAAGGCUGAACCAGCCAAGUCGCGUGAGGGACGACUGCCCUAUGGGUUGUAAACCUCUUUUAUCAGGGAAGAAUAAAUGCUACGUGUAGCAUGCUGCCUGUACCUUAUGAAUAAGCAUCGGCUAACUCCGUGCCAGCAGCCGCGGUAAUACGGAGGAUGCGAGCGUUAUCCGGAUUUAUUGGGUUUAAAGGGUGCGUAGGCGGUUUUUUAAGUCAGUGGUGAAACGUCGGGGCUUCACCUUGAUUAGCCAUUAAUACUGUAAGACUCGAGUUCAGACGAGGUAGGCGGAAUAAGUGAAGUAGCGGUGAAAUGCUUAGAUAUAGCUUAGAACUCCGAUAGCGAAGGCAGCUUGCCAGACUGCGACUGACGCUGAAGCACGAGAGCGUGGGUAGCGAACAGGAUUAGAUACCCGGGUAGUC